rnacentral:rRNA from 1 species
AGUAUAAGCAAUUAUACCGUGAAACUGCGAAUGGCUCAUUAAAUCAGUUAUCGUUUAUUUGAUAGUACCUUACUACUUGGAUACCCGUGGUAAUUCUAGAGCUAAUACAUGCUGAAAACCCCGACUUCGGAAGGGGUGUAUUUAUUAGAUAAAAAACCAAUGCCCUUCGGGGCUACUUGGUGAUUCAUAAUAACUUAACGGAUCGCAUGGCCUUGCGCCGGCGACGGUUCAUUCAAAUUUCUGCCCUAUCAACUUUCGAUGGUAAGGUAUUGGCUUACCAUGGUUUCAACGGGUAACGGGGAAUAAGGGUUCUAUUCCGGAGAGGGAGCCUGAGAAACGGCUACCACAUCCAAGGAAGGCAGCAGGCGCGCAAAUUACCCAAUCCCGACACGGGGAGGUAGUGACAAUAAAUACUGAUACAGGGCUCUUUUGGGUCUUGUAAUUGGAAUGAGUACAAUUUAAAUCCCUUAACGAGGAACAAUUGGAGGGCAAGUCUGGUGCCAGCAGCCGCGGUAAUUCCAGCUCCAAUAGCGUAUAUUAAAGUUGUUGCAGUUAAAAAGCUCGUAGUUGAACCUUGGGCCUGGCUGGCCGGUCCGCCUCACCGCGUGUACUGGUCCGGCCGGGCCUUUCCUUCUGGAGAGCCCCAUGCCCUUCACUGGGUGUGCGGGGGAACCAGGACUUUUACUUUGAAAAAAUUAGAGUGUUCAAAGCAGGCCUUUGCUCGAAUACGUUAGCAUGGAAUAAUAGAAUAGGACGUGUGGUUCUAUUUUGUUGGUUUCUAGAACCGCCGUAAUGAUUAAUAGGGAUAGUCGGGGGCAUCAGUAUUCAAUUGUCAGAGGUGAAAUUCUUAGAUUUAUUGAAGACUAACUACUGCGAAAGCAUUUGCCAAGGAUGUUUUCAUUAAUCAGUGAACGAAAGUCAGGGGAUCGAAGACGAUCAGAUACCGUCGUAGUCUUGACCGUAAACUAUGCCGACUAGGGAUCGGGCGGUGUUUCUAUCUUGACCCGCUCGGCACCUUACGAGAAAUCAAAG